GGUAAAUGGCCCAGUGAGUUCAGGAUGGUGCCCAAGAAUCCUGGAGGGACCAACCAAUGAUCCUAAAGGAGAAUGGCAUCUUCCCAGCCAUAGUAACUGUUUAUGAGGACAUCUGCAGUGAUUCUUCUCAUCUAUACACAAGUGUUUCUUUGCAACUGUGACUGGGCUACCUCUCGCAUUAAGAAGUCAAAUUCCUUCUCCAAAUCCUUGAAUCUGGGCUGUCCUUGUGAUUUGCUUUACCAACAAAAUGCAGCAAAAGUGACAUUGUGGGACUUGUGAGUGUUGCAUUGGAGACACUUUCGAAGCUUCUGUUCUUUUCCUAUUGACACGCUGCCAUUAUCAUGUGAAAAAGCCCCAGGCAGUGUCCUUGAGGUUGAGAGACCAUGUGGAGACAGAGGCCCAGCCAAAGCCAUUACCAACUGCCAGCUUUUGAAUUAGGCCAGCUUGGACCAUGCAUCCCUAAUGGUUUCCAGUUGACAGCAUCUGCAAGGAAUGACCAUCAGCAGAAUGAGUGAGAUCAGCAGAAAAGUCACCCAGUUGAAGCCAGCUCAAAUUUCUGACACACAAAAUUAUCAGCAGACAAAAUGGUUGUCGUUUUAAGCUAUAUUUUCUUGUGCAGCAAUAGGUCAUAAAGAAACUAGCUAGACUACAAAGAUGUCUCUUUCAAGCUUUAUGUCAUCUUGCUUUGACCUUGAAGGUUCUGAAUACUUCUGCAAGAGGAAUUUUGAAUGGUGCCAGAACGCAUUUAUGCUAAGCUUUCACUCAUUUUUCAAAUUAC